rnacentral:tRNA from 1 species
GCCGUCUUAGCUCAGCCGGAUGAGCGCAUGGCUUUUAACCAUGUGGUCGUGGUUCGAUUUCCACAGACGGCG